UGAGGAAUAUUGGGCAAUGCCCGAAAGGGUGACCCAGCAACGCCGCGUGGAGGAUGAAGGUCGUAAGAUUGUAAACUCCUGUUAGAGGGGAAGAAUAACUAAGUUUGGAGCUUAGUAUGACUGUACCCUCAGAGAAAGCCCCGGCUAACUACGUGCCAGCAGCCGCGGUAAUACGUAGGGGGCAAGCGUUGUCCGGAUUUACUGGGUGUAAAGGGCGCGCAGGCGGAAUGGAAAGUCAGUGGUGAAAUCCUACAGCUUAACUGUAGAACUGCCUUUGAUACUUUCAUUCUUGAGUUCGGGAGAGNGAGACGGAAUUCCAGGUGUAGUGGUGAAAUACGUAGAUAUCUGGAAGAACACCAGUUGCGAAGGCGGUCUCUUGGUCCGAUACUGACGCUGAGGCGCGAAAGCGUGGGGAGCAAACA
rnacentral:rRNA from 1 species